CCUACGGGGGGCUGCAGUGAGGAAUAUUGGUCAAUGGACGAGAGUCUGAACCAGCCAAGUAGCGUGAAGGAUGACUGCCCUAUGGGUUGUAAACUUCUUUUAUAUGGGAAUAAAAUGUUCCACGUGUGGGAUUUUGUAUGUACCAUAUGAAUAAGGAUCGGCUAACUCCGUGCCAGCAGCCGCGGUAAUACGGAGGAUCCGAGCGUUAUCCGGAUUUAUUGGGUUUAAAGGGAGCGUAGGUGGAUUGUUAAGUCAGUUGUGAAAGUUUGCGGCGCAACCGUAAAAUUGCAGUUGAAACUGGCAGUCUUGAGUACAGUAGAGGUGGGCGGAAUUCGUGGUGUAGCGGUGAAAUGCUUAGAUAUCACGAAGAACUCCGAUUGCGAAGGCAGUUCACUGGACUGCAACUGACACUGAGGCUCGAAAGUGUGGGUAUCAAACAGGAUUAGAUACCCUUGUAGUC
rnacentral:rRNA from 1 species